GACGUAGGGCGCGAGCGUUGUCCGGAUUUAUUGGGCGUAAAGAGCUCGUAGGCGGCUUGUCGCGUCGUCUGUGAAAUCCCGCGGCUCAACUGCGGGUCUGCAGUCGAUACGGGCAGGCUAGAGUUCGGUAGGGGAGACUGGAAUUCCUGGUGUAGCGGUGAAAUGCGCAGAUAUCAGGAGGAACACCGGUGGCGAAGGCGGUUCUCUGGGCAUGACCUGACGUGAGGAGCGAAAGUGUGGGGAGCGAACAGG
rnacentral:rRNA from 1 species